GGGCAAGUGGUCAGAGACCACAUUGUGGUGGCAUCUUUGUUUAAGAUAGAGAAAUUAGAGCCCUCUACCUGCGAUGUGUGUCGCGUUGAUCGUUACCCGACACGAGCCUGUUGUCACCGACUGGGAGUAUACUUUUGUCGAGGCGAUAACUUUAGGCCCAGCAGGUACAAACCGUCUCCAAGUCAAUGGACAAUGCAGAAGGCGACCAGACAUUACAUGGUGAUGGCUAAAUAUGAGUAGAACACGUGAGUUCCACAUCCAAUUGAUGUCAGUAUUGAGGCAACGUGACGAUCAGUAAGCGGCAAUUUUAUUUACUACAAACUAUUCCCUACAAGUUCAUUUUGCAAGAAUAUCAGCACGAAAAAGUAUUAGCGUAAACAUUGCCGCUGACAGGCAUUUAAAUGCUGAAAAUCAUAAUUUUUCCAUGCCCACGUAACAAUUGAGGCAAUGCAGUGAUUAUGAGCACCUUUUUCUACCGGACGAACUAUUUAUACAAAAACAAAAAUUACAUAUAAGCGCAUAAAGCAAAUGCAAAAAAAAAAAACGAUUAAAUAAAAUUCAAAGAAUUUUACUGUUAUGCAACACAACACAGUGAAAUACA